GUGAUGGGGAGGAGCGUGGGCGGAGGAAGAAGCAGAGACGUGGGACAUCGUCGCUGCCUCUGGUAAGUCACUGAAGGGGUUUUCACCCCUUCAGCAACUGGGAAUGGGAGGUGGGAGGGAGAGGGGACCUGCAGUGCCAGGAAAACCUUUCCUUGGUGGGAUCUCCCUGUAAUGGUAGAUAUGUCUCGUGGUCUCGGAGUUGUGACUUAAAUUCUUAGCAUAGUGUU